AAUAAUAAUAAUAAUGAUAAAAUUAGUAUUAUUAUAGGCCUUCUUAGUAUUACACCAUACAAAGGCUGCAAUUUAAACGCAUCCAGUUUAUAACGUGAUGCGUCAACCUGCUUCGUCUCCCAGCAAACGCAUCACGUGACGUGGACGCGUUUACUAUCGUGACUCGCGCUCACCUGCACACUUUUAACUGCAGUUACUAGCGUUAGAGGAUAGACUCUAAACAAGCCGUACAGACUCCAAAGCUGGAUGGCGGACACGUCAACUUGGCUGGAGAGAUCGAAUGUGGCAUCUACGACGUAUUACUCUCCCAUCAGUGCUGAAUUCUCUGCAUCCAGGGGCGAAACCGUUUCAUCAGGAUUGAGCAUCACUCAUCAGCGGCAGUCAGAAUCCUCCUGCUCUUGCAUGGGAACCAGUCCUUAGAGGCACACACACACACAGGCUUUCCUGGAUUUGCAACAUCCUGUCCACUAUGACAACGUUUUUUCGGGCGGGCCUGAAUGAAAAGACCAGGGUGUACCUGCCCAAAGAUGAGCCUCUGGGGAGCUUUGAGUAUGUGGAGUGGGAACUCCUGCACAACGGUUCCCCAUUCACGAUCUG